CUUAUUUUUUUAUAAGAGUGACGGGCGAUAUGUGCAUGUUAAAUUUCAAUUUCACUUUAAAAUUUUGUUAAUAAUUAAAAUUAAUUUUAAGUCCUAAUUCAAUUUUUUCUUUUCUUACAAAUUUCCUAGUUAUUUUUUCAUUGUAUCCCACUUCUACUUUAAAAUAAUCUCUGUAUUGAUUUGUUUUAUAAUUUUUUUAAUUUCUAAAAAUAAUAAUUUUUCAUGUUUUUUAAAACAAUAAUAUGGAGAAUUAAAUAUAAAAUCGGUUUGAUCGUGGGUUAUCGAUUACAGUGCAGGAUCCCCUAAUUUGAUUUUACACCGCCAUUUUAAUUAGAUUUUUCUUAAUUUAGAUACUUUCUGUAUUUAAGUUAAAA
rnacentral:rRNA from 1 species